rnacentral:rRNA from 1 species
GACGAACGCUGGUGGCGUGCCUAAUACAUGCAAGUAGAACGCUGAAGGAGGAGCUUGCUUCUCUGGAUGAGUUGCGAACGGGUGAGUAACGCGUAGGUAACCUGCCUGGUAGCGGGGGAUAACUAUUGGAAACGAUAGCUAAUACCGCAUAACAGUAGAUGUUGCAUGACAUUUGCUUAAAAGGUGCAAUUGCAUCACUACCAGAUGGACCUGCGUUGUAUUAGCUAGUUGGUGGGGUAACGGCUCACCAAGGCGACGAUACAUAGCCGACCUGAGAGGGUGAUCGGCCACACUGGGACUGAGACACGGCCCAGACUCCUACGGGAGGCAGCAGUAGGGAAUCUUCGGCAAUGGACGGAAGUCUGACCGAGCAACGCCGCGUGAGUGAAGAAGGUUUUCGGAUCGUAAAGCUCUGUUGUAAGAGAAGAACGAGUGUGAGAGUGGAAAGUUCACACUGUGACGGUAUCUUACCAGAAAGGGACGGCUAACUACGUGCCAGCAGCCGCGGUAAUACGUAGGUCCCGAGCGUUGUCCGGAUUUAUUGGGCGUAAAGCGAGCGCAGGCGGUUAGAUAAGUCUGAAGUUAAAGGCUGUGGCUUAACCAUAGUACGCUUUGGAAACUGUUUAACUUGAGUGCAAGAGGGGAGAGUGGAAUUCCAUGUGUAGCGGUGAAAUGCGUAGAUAUAUGGAGGAACACCGGUGGUGAAAGCGGCUCUCUGGCUUGUAACUGACGCUGAGGCUCGAAAGCGUGGGGAGCAAACAGG